rnacentral:lncRNA from 1 species
GUUGUUUGGCCUUUGUUUAAUGGUCAAUAAAUGGCAUCUUAAACUAAUUUUUUAAUUGGUCAAAGUUAAUGCAUCUUUUCUUACAUGUGAAACAAUCCUUUGUACAAUUUAUUGUAGUUUUGUAACAUUAUUCUAUCAAAAAAAAAAAUUAAACCAGUCACUGGCCAACUUCAGACUUACUGUGUAUAAAUAGCAGAAAUCUUAAACUGAACAGCUCUCCAUGUGAGAAAACAAUCUUGCACCAUCUUAAGACUAUUUUAUUGUAUAUUUUGGAGCUACUCUUAAAGAUAAAGGUUCUUCACUGGAAUUAAUGGGUCCACAAAGAACUUAUAAGAUACAUAGAACCUUUACAUCACAUAAAAGCUUCUUUAUAGCGCAGGAAGGUUUUCUCUAAAUAUUCACUAAAAGGUUCUUUGUGGAACCCAAAAUGGUUCUUCUGUGGCAUUGCUAAGAAAACCCCCUUUUGUAACCUUGUAUAAACUUACAGCUCUCCAAAUUAAGACUACCUAAAUCCAUUUCAUAAAAACUAAUAUAAUAUAAAAAGUUUUUUAAAAUAUUUGUGAUAUAUUUUAUGAGCAAAUCACGAACAAACCCUGAUUGUAUCGGUUAAUGUUUAGAUUUACAUAUUUAAGUUUCAACAGUUGUUGUUUUUUUUCUUUUCUUCUUCUUUCUUUCGCUUUCCUUUCUCCCCAGUGUUCGCGUGACGUUGAUUGUUCUUUAGACGCCCCUGAGCUGAUCUGGUAACACUGUGUGCUUCAAGAGAAGGUAGUUGAAGAGGAAGAGCAGCGCGAUGGCGUCCACCUCAGCGGUUCUCCUGCUCCUGUCUGCAGGUUUAUUCACGGUAACAGUUGGUUUUGGUGAUGACUGUCAGGGCUACUACACCAGCAAUAACGAGUACAAGCCUUCGAUUGACUGUGGGCUUGGGACACACUGCUGUGGAAGCUGCGAUAUCAGAUACUGCUGCUACUUUGAAUCUUUGAGGUUAUCCAAGCAUGAGCAAGAUAUGUGCACUAUGUAAGGAUUUUUAAGCCUUUUCUUUCUUAAUAUAAUUGUCAGUGAGACCCAAAAGUUACUUUUUAUCCACCCUCUCGUAAUUCCAAACCAAAAUUGUUUGAAUCUUCAAAAAUGACACACACACACACACACACACACACACACACACCAAUAUAAAAUAUAUAUAGUAAAACAAUUUACAUAAUGUAUUACACAAGUAGAAAUAUGAAUGAAUCCUUAGAAUCCACCUCUGACAGUACAAGCGAGUAAAUACAGUUCUUU